rnacentral:rRNA from 1 species
AGAGUUUGAUCCUGGCUCAGAACGAACGCUGGCGGCAGCCUAAUACAUGCAAGUCGAGCGCCCAGUAAUGGGAGCGGCGGACGGGUGCGUAACACGUGGGAACGUACCCUUUGGUUCGGAAUAACUCAGGGAAACUUGAGCUAAUACCGAAUAAGCCCGUGAGGGGAAAGAUUUAUCGCCAAAGGAUCGGCCCGCGUUCGAUUAGCUAGUUGGUGGGGUAAUGGCUCACCAAGGCAACGAUCGAUAGCUGGUUUGAGAGAACGACCAGCCACACUGGGACUGAGACACGGCCCAGACUCCUACGGGAGGCAGCAGUAGGGAAUCUUGGACAAUGGGGGAAACCCUGAUCCAGCCAUGCCGCGUGAGUGAUGAAGGCCUUCGGGUUGUAAAACUCUUUCGCGCACGACGAUAAUGACGGUAGUGCGAGAAGAAGCUCCGGCUAACUUCGUGCCAGCAGCCGCGGUAAUACGAAGGGGGCUAGCGUUGUUCGGAAUUACUGGGCGUAAAGCGCGCGCAGGCGGCUUUUCAAGUCAGGGGUGAAAGCCCGGAGCUCAACUCCGGAACUGCCUCUGAGACUGUAAAGCUUGAGUACGGGAGAGGUGAGUGGAAUUCCGAGUGUAGAGGUGAAAUUCGUAGAUAUUCGCAAGAACACCAGUGGCGAAGGCGGCUCACUGGCCCGGAACUGACGCUGAGACGCGAAAGCGUGGGGAGCAAACAGGAUUAGAUACCCUAGUAGUCC